UGUAGUAUCUGUUCUUAUCAGUU
rnacentral:piRNA from 1 species